AUCCCUUCCAACUCUACAAUUCUAUGAUUCUAUGACAUCCACUCAGGUGAAUCAUAGAAUCAGAAUUGUAGAGUUGGAAGGGAC